UACGGAGGGUGCAAGCGUUUAUCCGGAUUCACUGGGUUUAAAGGGUGCGUAGGCGGGCAGGUAAGUCAGUGGUGAAAUCCUAGAGCUUAACUCUAGAACUGCCAUUGAUACUAUCUGUCUUGAAUAUUGUGGAGGUAAGCGGAAUAUGUCAUGUAGCGGUGAAAUGCUUAGAUAUGACAUAGAACACCUAUUGCGAAAGGCAGCUUACUACGCAUAUAUUGACGCUGAGGCACGAAAGCGUGGGGAUCAAACAGG
rnacentral:rRNA from 1 species